rnacentral:rRNA from 1 species
UACGUAGGGGGCAAGCGUUGUCCGGAAUCAUUGGGCGUAAAGCGCGUGUAGGCGGCCAGGUAAGUCCGUUCUGAAAGCCCGGGGUUCAACCCCGGGAGGCGGAUGGAUACUGCUUGGCUCGAGUCCGGAAGAGGCGAGUGGAAUUCCCGGUGUAGCGGUGAAAUGCGCAGAUAUCGGGAGGAACACCAAUGGCGAAGGCAGCUCGCUGGGACGGUACUGACGCUCAUGCACGAAAGCGUGGGGAGCAAACAGG